GCUGAGCACUUUCGGGUGUGGAUGAGUGGCGAACGGGUGAGUAACACGUGGGUAAUCUGCCCUGCACUCUGGGAUAAGCCUUGGAAACGGGGUCUAAUACCGGAUAUGACAUGUCACCGCAUGGUGUGCGUGUGGAAAGUUCCGGCGGUGCAGGAUGAGCCCGCGGCCUAUCAGCUUGUUGGUGGGGUAGUGGCCUACCAAGGCGACGACGGGUAGCCGGCCUGAGAGGGUGACCGGCCACACUGGGACUGAGACACGGCCCAGACUCCUACGGGAGGCAGCAGUGGGGAAUCUUGCGCAAUGGGCGAAAGCCUGACGCAGCAACGCCGCGUGGGGGAUGACGGCCUUCGGGUUGUAAACCUCUUUCGACACCGACGAAGCCUUCGGGUGACGGUAGGUGUAGAAGAAGCACCGGCUAACUACGUGCCAGCAGCCGCGGUAAUACGUAGGGUGCGAGCGUUGUCCGGAUUUAUUGGGCGUAAAGAGCUCGUAGGCGGUUUGUCGCGUCGGCCGUGAAAACUCACAGCUUAACUGUGGGCGUGCGGUCGAUACGGGCAGACUUGAGUUCGGCAGGGGAGACUGGAAUUCCUGGUGUAGCGGUGAAAUGCGCAGAUAUCACGAGGAACACCGGUGGCGAAGGCGGGUCUCUGGGCCGAUACUGACGCUGAGGAGCGAAAGCGUGGGGAGCGAACAGGAUUAGAUACCCUGGUAGUCCACGCCGUAAACGUUGGGCGCUAGGUGUGGGGACC
rnacentral:rRNA from 1 species